rnacentral:rRNA from 1 species
GGUGAGGAAAGAAAGCUCCGAAUGACGUGGUGAGGAAAAACGAAACGAGGCUCUGUCUAGCUCACUCUAGGUCCUGCUUGAGGGCCGGCCGCUGGUACCGCCUCCGGCGUGGCGGAGGAGAGGAGCCGCCGGAGGGACUGCUCUAGCGGUAGACCCUCUAGGAGCAGGCGGACGGGGGGUUUCUGGAGGAGGCGACGGCACGGCAGACGGCACGGACCGCGACGUGGUGGAGGUGGGCGCUGAAGGAGGAGCGGGUGGUGCGGGCGGUCGGGCGGGAGGGAGAGAGGAUGCAGAUGUUAAAGCUGCUGGCGCCGACGAAGAAGUGUCUGUAGUGGAGGAAGCUGGUGGUCCCUCCCCGGCGGUGGGGGGUCUGGCAGCGCGCUGAAGCGGCGGUAUGGAAUUGAGGCUGCCAGAGGACGCUGCCGAAUUAGCAGAAGGUCUAUCUGAUGUUUCGACUAGCUGUUGAUAAGUAGACGUUGGGCCGUUGAGCAGUCAUACCAACGGAGGGCUACGAAAAACCGCGAGGGGAUAGGCGGCACCCCUACGGAAAACCGCGAGGGGCUGGGCACCGGCACCCCUACAUGAGUGUAUCGGGUUGGCCGCUCAUGGCGGACGAUAACGACGUCCUUCGACUUCGUGGUCUACCGAGGAGGGAGCAGAUGUGUAUGUGAAAUCCGAGGUCGGUCGGCGGCCCGGUGAUGUGUAGCUCCCGGGGUUAAACUUGCUUGACGAUAAGAGCGCGCCUGGAAAGUACAAGGCACCAUCGGACGUGACCACGUAUUCGUUGUACUAUUAACGUAAGCUGUGGCAGCGGCUCAGCAAGGCCGUCUACGCGUGAGGUCAACAAGGAUUAAACAGACUAGACAAACUCUACCUACCUUACGAGCCGUACAGGUCAAAACUACUAAUGUUACUACUGCUCGGUUAACAACUAUAGACCUAUUACGUCCUGAUGCUCACGUUCCAGACCCGAAACUUUAUGGCCCAACUUUAUGGCAUACGCCUCGAGUGGAACGUCAAACCUAACAAAAUGGGCGCACUAACACACCACAAAUGAAGAACCCAACCGCUACACCAUCACGACCAGGGCAAACCGGCGACCGAUGAAGUCGAACUGCACCCACCGUCCAACCAACGGUCAAAGCUCCUGUCUCCACCUGAGUAACCAGUCGGUGUAGUCGAGUUCGUUUGAGAACAAGUCGUAUGGAAGAAAGGCUGUGAUCUCCCAAUACAACAGUUACUAACCGGAAAGUAGACUUCUCUUCUAAUACAACACUUGUGCAUCGGAAAGUAGGUUCCCGACAACUGAGACCACCACGACAUCAUACAUAUUGGCCCAGGUGAUACUCGGCUCGGGUGAUGGAUGAAACGACCAUAUAAUUUUUAUUACUACUUCUUCGAGCCUGAUAAAGUACCGACACAAUAUAAAGUAACUUAUAGUAAGACCCGCCUUCACCGACGACACUCACAACUACGAUUUUCAUGUUCAGUAAACCUAGUAGUAAACUUUACAAACGGUUAUAAAGACUGAUUACAGAGACAAAAGAACCUGACUUCUCACCUGAAUAAAAGGGGCAAAUAUAUCACUAGAAUAAUCAUAAGUUAUCAAUCGUUAGAUCCACAGAGAACAGAGACAAAUGACUUGGCUUAUUAACUGAACAGAAAAUUAAGUACACAUGAAAAGAUCUCUAAUGGAUUAAUAAAAAAAUUAUGAUUAAUAAAUUGUUUAUAUGUAAACUAAGGACGAAAACACAAACAAACAAAACAGUUUCCACUUAAAAAAAAACAGUUUCCACUUUACUCCAUCUAAUAGGAGGAAGAACCGACGUUCAACAUGGACUAAAAGGAUUUUCAACCGCGUGAUCAGUUUACUUUACAAGACAAUAACAACAUUAAGACAGAAAAGCAACGUAGUAAACCUUAAUAUAUAAAAAUAAAGUGAAAUCCACGAUUGGCAACAUUCCUUCGUUACGUAGUAUACCAGAACCUAGAAUUUUAUACGAACUCUUUCUUUGAACAUGACUACACGUCUCGGUACUAAAAAAAAAGACACUGACCGCGUUACGCAUACUUAACCCAGGUGAUACUCUACCAAACAUAGAAAAAAUACAUGAGGGAGGGAAAGAAAAAUGAAGCGUAUAAUCCAAACAGAGUUCAGUUUGAAACUAACAAUUGUCCAAUAAUACUGGUUCUUAAAACUAACAAUU